ensembl:lncRNA
UGCCGGUAGUGCCAGAGCCACAAUAAACGAAACUAAACAGGAUUUGAAAAAGGGGGUGGAGCAUCUACAAAAAGUGACAUACCAGUUGCGCAAGAGAAAAAUGGUCAUCUUUUACAAAAAUGAUAGGACAGAUGUGGGGAAACUCACACAAGAAGACAAUCCAGAAGAGGAGGAGGAGGAUGAAGCGAGGGAAUGGGUUCCUAAGCAGUCUGUUAGCUCAUCUGACGAUGAUGGGACAGAUGACUGGAAACCCACACAGGAUGAAUCUGAAGGCUAUUCAGAAGAGGAGGAAGAACAAGAACGUAAAAGGAUUCCUAAGAUGGCGGCAGCAUCUGAAGAGGAUGGGACACAUGAUAGCAGACCCACACAG